UUCAGCUGCAGAUGAUUCUGACCUGCUAGCGCGCUAAGAUGUCAUCAUGAAGAGCUGCCUACUGGAUUUGACUGAACUGACCAUUCAUCUACAAGUUGUUAGCUGUGACUACCAUCUUCUACAUAGGAAAAGAUGCAUUAAACUGUGACAAUAAAGAAUGUCAUGUUCUGA